GCCUCUCUGACACCCAGUGGCGACCAAGUCCUAGCAGUACUAUCUCUAAAGGUCCUCCCUAUCUGUCGUCUGCCCUUCAUUUUCCCAGUUACUCCAGUUACUGUCCUACUCAAGGACCCCCAUCCCAUCUGUGCUACUAUAACCACAUGGUCCAUCCCUUGCUUCAAUCAUAGAAUUCUUUCUUCAGAUCAAAGUAUAUUCAGACACCCGAUACAGUAACAAAAGCAAGCUAUCCUGGAAGGAAGAAGGAAUCAGGAGGCAGAGCACAUGGUUAAAGCAUGAGAUGUGAAACCAGGAAGAACCAGGUCUGAAUCUUAGCUCCACCAGUGGUAGCUCCAAACCUUAGUCCUUUCUGAGCCUGCUUCUUCAACCCUAAGGUGUGAUUACAUUGAGCAGUAACAGCAAAACCUGAAAGAGAAUGGAUACAGGUGUUCAUUUCAGAUGGUACAAGUUUAACAAGGUACAAGAGCAACUUAAGGGAACACUACACUUCCUUAAAAAUUAAGAGUGUGUGCUACACUGCUUUACUAGAGCAAGACCAAAAGCAGCUUCAAUUAUGGUACAACUGUGUGAAGACACAAUGCAAAACCACUCAAGAAUGCUCACUCAAAUGGAUCUUUUACGAUGGAAUUCGGAAACGGGACCCAGAAAGUUGUUUCCUGCAAGUGGCUGGAACAACACAAGCAAUAAGUAUCCUGAAACAGGCCCUG
rnacentral:antisense_RNA from 1 species